rnacentral:rRNA from 1 species
AGCGAACGCUGGCGGCAGGCCUAACACAUGCAAGUCGAACGAACUCUUCGUAAUUAGUGGCUGACAGGUGAGUAACACGUGGGAACGUGCCUUUUGGUUCCGAAUAACUCAUGGUCACUUGUGCUAAUACCGAAUGUGCCCUUCGGGGGCAAGAUUUAUCGCCAUUAGAGCGGCCCGCGUCUGAUUAGCUAGUUGGUGAGGUAACGGCUCACCAAGGCGACGAUCAGUAGCUGGUCGGAGAGGAUGACCAGCCACACUGGGACUGCGACACGGCCCAGACUCCUACGGGAGGCAGCAGUGGGGAAUCUUGCGCAAUGGGCGAAAGCCUGACGCAGCCAUGCCGCGUGAAUGAUGAAGGUCUUAGGAUUGUAAAAUUCUUUCACCGGGGACGAUAAUGACGGUACCCGGAGAAGAAGCCCCGGCUAACUUCGU